rnacentral:rRNA from 1 species
UACGUAGGGUGCAAGCGUUGUCCGGAAUUAUUGGGCGUAAAGAGCUCGUAGGCGGUCUGUCGCGUCUGCUGUGAAAACUCAGGGCUUAACCCUGAGCUUGCAGUGGGUACGGGCAGACUAGAGUGCGGUAGGGGAGACUGGAAUUCCUGGUGUAGCGGUGAAAUGCGCAGAUAUCAGGAGGAACACCGAUGGCGAAGGCAGCUCGCUGGGACGUCGACUGA